rnacentral:tRNA from 1 species
GAGGGUAUAGCUCAGUGUUAGAGCACAUGGUUAGCAUGCAUGAAGUCCUGGGUUCAAUUCCCAGUACUUCCA